CCCUUAGAUGUUCUGGGCCGCACGCGCGCUACACUGAUGCAUUCAACGAGUCUAAAACCUGGUCUGAUAGGGCUGGGUAAUCUUUUGAAUGUGCAUCGUGAUUGGGAUAGAUGAUUGCAAUUCUUCAUCUUCAACGAGGAAUGCCUAGUAAAUGCAAGUCAUCAGCUUGCAUUGAUUACGUCCCUGCCCUUUGUACACACCGCCCGUCGCUCCUACCGAUUGAAUGUUCCGAUGAAUACCAUGGACUGAGAGUAUGAAUGGGUUCGCCUAUUUCUGCUUCUCGGGAAGUGGAGUAAAUCUUAACAUUUAGAGGAAGGAGAAGUCGUAACA
rnacentral:rRNA from 1 species